rnacentral:misc_RNA from 1 species
GAUCAGGUUUAUAAACUUGAGUGUAUGAAUUAGUAGUGAAAUGUUACUCGAUAACUGGCUGUGGAGGGAGGACCAUGUCGAGAUAGAAGUGUUUGUGUUCGUGUUGUGAUGUGCGAUGCGCGGAGCAGAGAGAGGCUGCGGUAGUCACAGCUGCUCCGCUUGCAAGACGUUUAACGCCCUCAGAGCAGGCUUCUGGAGCACGGCCUGCUUCCUCUUCCCCAGGCCCGCCGAAGGCCUCUCGCAGCCUCUCCAGAGGAACCGCUGGUCUUCCAGGUCGGUUGGACACUACUCCAGGGCCUCGGGCAGGAUGGGCUCCACCAGGCCCAUGAAGAGUGGCGGAGGCUUCAUCCACGGGGGCUUCAAGGCCGCAGCGCUUGUGAAUCGGUCGCCGCCCCGACCCGGGCUGACCCGCUCGCGCACUACGCUGGACGCAAGCUGUGCCACCCCCUACUCCUCCGCCCACUCCCUGGCCCACUCCUCCUCGGGCCAUUCCUUGGCGUUUUCCUCCUCCAGCCAUUCGCUGGCGCCGUCCGCCUCGUCCCACUCCCUAGCGUCGCCCUCGAUGACGGAGCUGACCCCAUCACCGUCCACGCGCUCGCUCGCUUCGUCGUCGGCGUACUCGUCGCAGUCGUCGGCUACGCUCAGCCGCAGCUCGUCCAACCUGAGCCUCGGCUGGCGCGAGUUCCGGGCGCGGCGGAAGCCCUUCGCCGUGCUCUACGACGGGCAAAAGGCCCAGUCUCGCGGCGGCAUCGGGGAGGGGCUGCUGCCGGCCCUGCGCCACCACGUGCUAGGGGAGAAGAAGGCCCGGGCGGUCCAGAAUACCAAAGAAUCAACCAAAGAAAGUUCCUCCCGCUCGACCAAAGACUCGGUGCUCGCCAGAGAAGAGGGCGUCGCCGCUCGCACCUUCACCAAAGCCGCAACCAAAGCACCUCCUUCGGACGCGAAGGACCACAAGGACGCCAAAGGAUCCUUCCUCUCCAGCAUCGCAAAGACCAAGCUCAAAGGACGUCGGGAUGACCUACGACGCUUCACCACCAGUGUGCUGCCGGCGCACCUGCUCGGCCUAGCCAAGCACGCCGCCGCCAGGAACAGCAGCAGCAGCAGCAACAACAACAACUCCACGACUACCAACAACAACAAUAACAACAAAAACAAAGCCGGCGCUGGCCCGGCCCCCCCGCCAGUGAAGUCGGGCGCCCAACACUUGCCCAAGAAAGUGCAGCGCCUGGACGAUGCGGGGCGAGAGGCAAGCGCUGCCAUGGGGCCUCCGCGAGUGUACCACCGAAGCGUCAGCCACUCGGCCAUGGCGAGCUCGCGCGAAGGAGGGCACUGCCGACAGGGGACGCACAUGAAUCAGUCGCACGAAAACGUGUCGUCUGCGGGCUUGGCGGGCGCUCACGGAACGCCGACUUCGGGUGUGGCCCCGCCGAAGCCUCCAAGGACCUACGCGAGCGAGGGUGCGACAACGCCUCGGGGAGGGCCUGGCGAACAGUUCCGGAAGCCAGCCACUCCCCCAAGGGUCAUCGUGGAGGCGCCGGAAGAGGGUGCUGUCCGAAGCGCGACCAGUCCGCCCCCCGCAAAGCGCAGCUUCGUUCCCCUCGGAACCUCCCAGUCUUGCUCCGCCCUCAUUAAGCCGAAGCCCGCCCCUCGGACCGUCUUCCCCACUUUCACCACACCCAUUGCUGGUUUCCGUCACCCGCGGCCGCGCCCUCUGCGCCGUCAGCACGACACUCCCCUUCAGGAGUCCCUACCACAAAUGUCGUCGACGCCCCUCGUGCUGCCGAGGAACCCAAGCAACCGCGAGGCGCCUAGGAGCCUGGGCCUGGGGACGGAUUCGGCAGAUGUGACGCCCACGCCUUCGUCUGAGACGAUUUGCAAUGAUGACUCCUUCCUCGACGACUCCUACAUGAGCCACAAGUGCUACCUGUCCCCGUCCAGUGUGUACGACUCCUCCUUGGGGUCGUACAACGGCCCCCCAGGCGGCCAGGACCACAUCCCCUGGAUCACGACGCCGCCCCACAACGCCAUCAAGGCCUCGCAGUCGCUGGGAAAUCUCCACCUGGCGGACGGCGACGGCGGAGGCCUCCUGCGAGGGCCCGGCCGCCUGCAGGCCGCGCACGAAGGCGCGUCGUUUAGCCACCGGAUGCUCCUGUCGUACCGGAACAAGGAAAACGAGGUCGAUGGAGGAGUGGAGAAAAAAUGGACACGCAGUAGUUCCCUUCGUCGUACUUUCCACCAUUCCAGUCACAAUAGUGGCCACCAGCAGGAUCCAUCUGCACACUCAGAUACCGAGAUUGGGAAGAUAUCUGCCCCACAUAGUCUUCUAGAUGGGGACUGUGGUUCAGUAGGAGGCAGCGUAUCAUCAGAGAGAGGAAUUGAUGUUGGGAGAGUGGGUGCUUGGGCCACUUCCUUUGAGAAACUCUUGGAAGACCCUGCAGGGUUACACACAUUUGCUGAGUUCCUGAAAAAAGAAUAUAGUCAUGAAAACAUUUAUUUUUGGACUGCCUGUGAGCGAUACAAACGCUUAUCCAACCCUGAUGAACUACGUGCCAUGGCCAAAGAGAUCUUUGAGAGACAUUUGUGCAUUGGCGCUUCAGAACCUGUCAAUGUUGACUCCCAGGCAAGACAGGAUGCUCAAGAUGGUCUGCAUUCUCCAAAUGAAUUCCUCUUUGCACAGGCACAGAAGCAAAUCUUCAAUCUCAUGAAGUUUGACAGUUACUCACGAUUCUUAAAGUCGAACUUGUACAAAGACUGUGUAUCACGAGACAUAAGGGGCCAGACUCUGCCAUACCCAGGGGAUGAAACACUUGACCCUGACCUUAGGAUUGUUCAAGAGGAUUCCCAUGUUAAGUUAAAGAAGAGCAAAUCAGAUGCUGAUGAACGGCGCAGGAAAUCCCUCUUGCCAUGGCACCGGAAGGACCGCAGUAAAAGCAAGGACAGAGGGGAAGCAGAAUACAGGCGGAGGAAGAAGAUGGGUCAACGCAACCCCUCUGAAUCCUCCAGUGUUCGGUCUGAUAUGAGUGGAAGCCGAACAUCUCUCAACUCCUCUGAUAUUGCGCUUGGGAGAAGAGCUGUAUCCAAAGAAUCACUUACAAGUGGUGAGCUUGGGAGCCUAAGUGGAAGUGAAGGCUGCAACAGAUGUCGCGUCAUUCUGCCUGAUCUCAGCAACUCUGUUGUGGCUGUUCGUCCUGGGGAGUCUAUACAGGGGCUUUUGACGAGGCUAUUAGAACGCCGAGGAAUCUCUUAUUCUACCUUUGAUGUGUAUCAACACAAAUCAGACAAGUCUCCUGCCUACAAGCUGAUGGAGAAGACAGAAGACAGCUCUGUGCUGGGAGGACUGGAGGUCAGGCUUGAGCAGAGAAUUCUCUUCCGUCUGGACCUUCCCAACCGCAAGACUGUAUGUGUUAAAGCUAAACCAAAUAAACUUGCAAAUGAAGUUCUUAAACCGAUUCUGCACAAGUAUGGUUACAAGCUCGACCUCAUGACCAUUCAUAAGGUUGGAGAAGAAAAAGGAGUUAACCUAAAGUGCCAUGUGAAUGAGUUAGAUGGAGAUAGGCUAGUAGUGCAGACAAAGGAGGAAGUGAAAGAGUGGGGAGUAGAGCCAGCUCGUCAAAAAAAAAGAGGCAGUUUAGAUGAAAUCACCAACCGUGUCUUUGAGGAUCUGUUGAAUGGAAAAUCAGAGCAAAAUUUUGAUGAACUUGGUGUGCUAGAUUUUGAUGCCAGAUCUUCCAGAACGGACAGAAGCAGUGAUAGAUCAUCUAGCAUCCUGGGCGGCUUCAGCAGGAGAAAUUCCCUGGCACCUGAUAAGGAGUCAAACAAGAAACCAAGGAAACCCAACAGUAGAUCAAGUGUACAUGAAAACCUUGGUGUCCGAGGGAUGAUGCCACCACCAGAGCAUGCAAUAGUCACAAAGCGGCGUGGCAACAACCCAGCCAAUGCAAAACAAGAAAAUGAUGAGUUAUAUGAAGGACUGAAACGUGCACAGAGGAGCCGCCUAGAUGACCAAAGAGGGACAGAAAUUAAUUUUGAACUGCCUGAUUUUCUCAAGUGUGACCAACCUCAGGUUACUAACUCUUAAUCUUUAACCCUUUGGGAUCCCUUGGGAUUUUCUGUCGUUCAUUUCUGCAACCAGGACAAGGAGAAUCAGCAUGCACAUCUGGCAGAUCAGCUGUUAGCACACCUAGAAUGCUCCUUCUCAGAAGGAGGUGUUAUACCAAGCCACCAGGAAGCGGAGGACUACUUCAGCAUGGCUCACCCUGAGGUCUGGGG